UACGAAGGGGGCUAGCGUUGUUCGGAAUUACUGGGCGUAAAGCGCGCGUAGGCGGCGACCUUUGUCAGAGGUGAAAUCCCGAGGCUCAACUUCGGAAUUGCCUUUGAAACGGGGUCGCUUGAGUCCGAGAGAGGAUGGCGGAAUUCCUAGUGUAGAGGUGAAAUUCGUAGAUAUUAGGAAGAACACCGGUGGCGAAGGCGGCCAUCUGGCUCGGUACUGACGCUCAGGCGCGAAAGCGUGGGGAGCAAACAGG
rnacentral:rRNA from 1 species